GUCCACGCCCUAAACGAUGUCAACUGGUUGUUGGUCCUUCACUGGAUCAGUAACGAAGCUAAUGCGUGAAGUUGACCGCCUGGGGAGUACGGCCGCAAGGUUGAAACUCAAAGGAAUUGACGGGGACCCCGCACAAGCGGUGGAUGAUGUGGUUUAAUUCGAUGCAACGCGAAAACCUUACCUACCCUUGACAUGUCUGGAAUCUCGCAGAGAUGUGAGAGUGCCCGAAAGGGAGCCAGAACACAGGUGCUGCAUGGCUGUCGU
rnacentral:rRNA from 1 species